GUCAACCUUCAUAUCACUUUGAACUCACCAGUUCCCUUCCAAUCACUGUAGCAUGUAGCAACGUCGAGCGUGGUUAGUACUUGGAUGGGUGACCCUUUACGUUCUGUUGACAGGUCUACU
rnacentral:rRNA from 1 species